rnacentral:rRNA from 1 species
CAGCACGGGGCAACCUGGUGGCGAGUGGCGAACGGGUGAGUAAUAUAUCGGAACGUACCCUAGAGUGGGGGAUAACGUAGCGAAAGUUACGCUAAUACCGCAUACGAUCUAAGGAUGAAAGUGGGGGAUUCGCAAGAACCUCAUGCUCGUGGAGCGGCCGAUAUCUGAUUAGCUAGUUGGUAGGGUAAAAGCCUACCAAGGCAUCGAUCAGUAGCUGGUCUGAGAGGACGACCAGCCACACUGGAACUGAGACACGGUCCAGACUCCUACGGGAGGCAGCAGUGGGGAAUUUUGGACAAUGGGCGAAAGCCUGAUCCAGCAAUGCCGCGUGAGUGAAGAAGGCCUUCGGGUUGUAAAGCUCUUUUGUCAGGGAAGAAACGGUUCGAUCUAAUACAUUGGACUAAUGACGGUACCUGAAGAAUAAGCACCGGCUAACUACGUGCCAGCAGCCGCGGUAAUACGUAGGGUGCAAGCGUUAAUCGGAAUUACUGGGCGUAAAGCGUGCGCAGGCGGUUAUGUAAGACAGAUGUGAAAUGCCCGGGCUUAACCUGGGAACUGCAUUUGUGACUGCAUGGCUAGAAUCUGGCAGAGGGGGGUAGAAUUCCACGUGUAGCAGUGAAAUGCGUANAUAUGUGGAGGAAUACCGAUGGCGAAGGCAGCCCCCUGGGCUAAGAUUGACGCUCAUGCACGAAAGCGUGGGGAGCAAACAGGAUUAGAUACCCUGGUAGUCCACGCCCUAAACGAUGUCUACUAGUUGUCGGGUCUUAAUUGACUUGGUAACGCAGCUAACGCGUGAAGUAGACCGCCUGGGGAGUACGGUCGCAAGAUUAAAACUCAAAGGAAUUGAC